rnacentral:tRNA from 1 species
AGGGUCGUAGCUCAAUUGGUAGAGCACUGGUCUCCAAAACCAGCGGUUGGGGGUUCAAGUCCCUCCGGCCCCUGCUACACAC